UAAAAUAUAGAAAAUCUCAUGAAAAUAUCUUUUUUUUUUAAUUUUUCUCCCCCACUUUCAAAAAAAAUCUAUAUUUUACCUUUUUUAAAAUUCAGAAAAUUUUUUAGGGGUUAUGGCAUUAAUGAAGAGGGUGAAAUGACUAAAUUGCUCUUAUUUGUUUUAUUAAAAAAUAUUUGUUUUAUAUAUUUCUAAUAUUUUAAGGGUAUUUUCGGUAUAAAUUAUAAAACAAUAAAAUUUCAGAAUAAUUGUUUUUAAAAAUGGAAUAAAUAGUGACAUAACCUUGGCGGAGGUACAUCAACUUGAAAUUUUAAAGGGGUAAAUAUUUUUUUUUUUUUUGAGAUAGGUAGCAUGCUACCUGCUUUGUUUAUUUCAUUUAGAAAUAAACUUAGCUGGAAAUGUGAAUUAACUAGAAUUCGAACUUGGGACCUCGGAUAUCAACCUCCAAACUCUUUGCCACUUGCUCCAGAGACAGUCAGUAAGGGGUAAAAUAUAGGUUUCUAAAAGUUAAGGAGAAAAUGUGAAAAGGCGAAUAUUUAUAAAGUGUUUUCUAUAAUUCAGCCCUUUAUUUUU
rnacentral:lncRNA from 1 species